rnacentral:rRNA from 1 species
AGUCGAAACUAAUUAUACCUAAAAAAAGCAGUUAAAUACUUAGUUAAAUUAUAAUAUAAUUAUAAAUUAAAGAAUAACUACACUAACUCUUCAAAUAUAAGAAUAAUUAAAUUAAUAGAAAGAGAGAUAUAAAUAAUAAAAAAAUAUUUAUUAUUUAUAAUGUUUUACUUUAUUUAAAGUUAUAC